GAUGCUGAGACGAUUUUGUCCUCGUAAGACUACUCUACUGUUUGUUAUACGAGAUAAAACAAGGUCACAAUUGAAUGAGGCUAUUUUAAGAGAGGAUUAUGGAGAAGCUGCAAAGCUGAAGUUGGCCAUAACUGGUGCUACAAAAAGGAUAUUGUUGGAGCAGCAUUGACUAUUAUGAAUAGAGCUAUAGAGGAAGAGCGAUACAUCGAUGCAACUUUCAUUCGUGAUCAUGUUGGGGCAGGACUGCUACAUGAAGCUAUUCACUCCAUUGAGCUUUAUUCAUUUUGCUAUAUGCAAGGCUAUAACAGUGGUUGCCAAUUCUUAUAUAUUGAUUGAAAAAAAUUCUUCAAAUGUUGAACGCAUACAGAAACUUAAAGCAAUGUUCAGAAAGGGUGCAUGCGACUUAAAUACUGAUGAAAAAGGUAGUUGCUCAGUAUACUGCUUUGUGGUUUUUAUGCAAACUGCACAUCCUCAAGCUUUGAGAUCUUACUAGAGUGUUGCUGCUGUAAUGUUGAGACAUAAGAAAAGGGAGAAAGCUGGGUUUGCAAGCUAAGUCUAUGAAAUUCU